ACUUAAGGGUGCACCACCGGAGAUUAGUAGGCGAAGACGGCCACCGAGCCUUGCCUUGACCUAAAGCAAGGAAAUGCAACAAAAAAAAAGGUAAAAUCCGGGACGGUUGUCCAACCACAACCUAAUCCCUCUUCCACGCGCAUCGGUUUGCGGACGAACCAGAGGUACUGAGAUCAUGGUGUAUAGGAAGUCAGAAACUGCCAAGAGUCACGCGGAAGGGUAGCACAAACAAUUUAGCACUGAUCUUCUGAAUACCAGAGGACGGAGACGCAGCCCAUCAGCUUCACUUGGCACUUUUAGUUGGAAGGACCCCGUUCGAGUAAAGUCUGAACCUACCAAGCUCUACCGAUUGAAUGAGCCAAUCGUACGACAAAAAGAUAAAAAAAAAAUGAGCUCAGAAAAGCCUUGCUGUCCGCUCACUAGCUCUACCGGUAACCUGACCUUUGAUGCAGCUGGCGAAGUUCGCAUUGGAUGUCCCCAGCCAGGCAGCAGGUACCCACAUUGAUCGCACUUACCUACCACUCCAUUUCAUUUCCUAGCCAUGGCAGCAUUACUACUAUUAUGAAAUGGCAUUGCUUCUUUAAAAAAAAAUAUCAAAUGGUAUUGUUUCUGGUAUGGCGGCUAAGACCGAAUUUGCUCGAACCGACCAAAAUCAGAUCUCACCCGGCACACACACAGCCAUCACAAAUUAGUUGUUCACAGUGUGUACGUUGGUUAAGCAAAUUAACUCGGCUGAUACUGUAAAAUGAUUGUGCAGUUUCGCAAAGAAGAAAAGAAAAGAUUGUGUAGUUGCUAGAAAAGCAUGCUCUUGGCUUCUAGUAUUCCAGGCAGGAACGGUGGUUGACCGAUGAGUGACAGAGGCCGUGUCACCUAAUCCUGAUUCCGUCAACCAACUUGACCUGGACCUUGACGUCCUCUUAAUAGGCGGCUGGGUCUCUUAAACUCUGGCUUGAAAACUAUCGUCAACAAGUUGACGUUUGUUGCUAGAUCUUGUAUUUGUAUGUUUUAUAUAUAUAGAUAGAAGCAACUCGUUCUUCUAUGAGGGAUGCAAGAGAAUCUUUCAAACUUGCAUCCGAAAUGUGAAAUAUUCAUACGGAAGGAA